AUGUUGACGAGGCAAGGGCACAGAAAACACACCGAACGACACAUCACAACCAGAAUCACAUCAGAAUCACAAUCAGAAUCACACCAGAACCACAAUCAGAAUCACAACCAGAAUCACAAUCAGAAUCACACCAGAAUCACAUCAGAAUCACAUCAGAAUCACAAUCAGAAUCACACCAGAACCACAAUCAGAAUCACAACCAGAAUCACAAUCAGAAUCACAUCAGAAUCACAACCAGAACCACAAUCAGAAUCACAACCAGAAUCACAUCAGAAUCACAUCAGAAUCAGAACCAGAACCACAACCAGAACCACAAUCAGAAUCACAACCAGAAUCACAUCAGAAUCAGAACCAGAACCACAAUCAGAAUCACAACCAGAAUCACAUCAGAAUCAGAACCAGAACCACAAUCAGAAUCAGAACCAGAACCACAAUCAGAAUCAGAACCAGAACCACAAUCAGAACCAGAACCACAAUCAGAACCACAAUCAGAAUCAGAACCAGAACCACAAUCAGAACCACAAUCAGAAUCAGAACCAGAACCACAAUCAGAAUCACAAUCAGAAUCAGAACCACAAUCAGAACCACAAUCAGAAUCAGAACCAGAACCACAACCAGAAUCACAACCAGAACCAGAACCACAAUCAGAAUCAGAACCAGAAUCAGAAUCACAAUCAGAACCACAAUCAGAACCACAAUCACAACCAGAAUCAGAACCAGAACCACAGUCAGAAUCAGAACCAGAACCAGAACCACAAUCAGAAUCACAACCACAAUCACAACCAGAACCACAAUCAGAAUCACAACCAGAAUCAGAACCACAAUCAGAACCACAAUCGCAAUCAGAAUCACAACCAGAAUCACAAUCAGAAUCAAAACCACAAUCAGAAUCAGAAUCACAAUCAGAAUCAGAACCAGAACCAGAAUCAGAACCACAAUCAGAAUCAGAAUCAGAACCACAAUCAGAAUCAGAACCAGAACCAGAAUCAGAACCAGAAUCAGAAUCAGAACCACAAUCAGAACCAGAAUCAGAACCACAAUCAGAAUCAGAACCAGAACCACAAUCAGAAUCAGAAUCACAAUCACAAUCAGAACCAGAACCAAAAUCAGAAUCACAAUCAGAACAAGAAUCAGAACCAGAAUCAGAAUCAGAAUCAGAACCACAAUCAGAAUCAGAAUCACAACCAGAAUCACUAUCACAAUCACAAUCAGAAUCACAAUCAGUUUUAUUGA
rnacentral:lncRNA from 1 species